AGACGUCUACAUUAGAUACCCCUGUAGUCCCAGCCGUAAACUAUGCGCGUUAGGUGUAUCGGUGACCACGAGUCACCGAGGUGCCGAAGGGAAACCGUGGAACGUGCCGCCUGGGAAGUACGGUCGCAAGGCUGAACUUAAAGGAAUUGGCGGGGAGCACCACAACGGGUGGAGCCUGCGGUUUAAUUGGACUCAACGCCGGGAAGCUCACCGGAUAAGACAGCGGAAUGAUUGCCGGGCUGAAGACUCUGCAUGACUAGCUG
rnacentral:rRNA from 1 species